rnacentral:rRNA from 1 species
UGCAGUCGAGCGACCRAUUAAGAGCUUGCUCUUAAGAAGUUAGCGGCGGACGGGUGAGUAACACGURGGUAACCUGCCUAUAAGACUGGGAUAACUCCGGGAAACCGGGGCUAAUACCGGAUAACAUUUUGCACCGCAUGGUGCGAAAUUGAAAGGCGGCUUCGGCUGUCACUUAUAGAUGGACCUGCGGCGCAUUAGCUAGUUGGUGAGGUAACGGCUCACCAAGGCRACGAUGCGUAGCCGACCUGAGAGGGUGAUCGGCCACACUGGGACUGAGACACGGCCCAGACUCCUACGGGAGGCAGCAGUAGGGAAUCUUCCGCAAUGGACGAAAGUCUGACGGAGCAACGCCGCGUGAACGAUGAAGGCUUUCGGGUCGUAAAGUUCUGUUGUUAGGGAAGAACAAGUGCUAGUUGAAUAAGCUGGCACCUUGACGGUACCUAACCAGAAAGCCACGGCUAACUACGUGCCAGCAGCCGCGGUAAUACGUAGGUGGCAAGCGUUAUCCGGAAUUAUUGGGCGUAAAGCGCGCGCAGG